rnacentral:rRNA from 1 species
GUAGUCCACGCCGUAAACGAUGUCGACUUGGAGGUUGUGCCCUUGAGGUGUGGCUUCCGGAGCUAACGCGUUAAGUCGACCGCCUGGGGAGUACGGCCGCAAGGUUAAAACUCAAAUGAAUUGACGGGGGCCCGCACAAGCGGUGGAGCAUGUGGUUUAAUUCGAUGCAACGCGAAGAACCUUACCUGGUCUUGACAUCCACGGAAGUUUUCAGAGAUGAGAAUGUGCCUUCGGGAACCGUGAGACAGGUGCUGCAUGGCUGUCGUCAGCUCGUGUUGUGAAAUGUUGGGUUAAGUCCCGCAACGAGCGCAACCCUUAUCCUUUGUUGCCAGCGGUCCGGCCGGGAACUCAAAGGAGACUGCCAGUGAUAAACUGGAGGAAGGUGGGGAUGACGUCAAGUCAUCAUGGCCCUUACGACCAGGGCUACACACGUGCUACAAUGGCGCAUACAAAGAGAAGCGACCUCGCGAGAGCAAGCGGACCUCAUAAAGUGCGUCGUAGUCCGGAUUGGAGUCUGCAACUCGACUCCAUGAAGUCGGAAUCGCUAGUAAUCGUGGAUCAGAAUGCCACGGUGAAUACGUUCCCGGGCCUUGUACACACCGCCCGUCACACCAUGGGAGUGGGUUGCAAAAGAAGUAGGUAGCUUAACCUUCGGGAGGGCGCUUACCACUUUGUGAUUCAUGACUGGGGUGAAGUCGUAACAAGGUAACCGUAGGGGAACCUGCGGUUGGAUCACCUCCUUACCUUAAAGAAGC